CAGCGUGGUUUGAUGAGCAGUGCCAUGUCCGCGCCCAGGAUUCGAACUGAUGAAACACUGGGCCGCCUGCAGCAGAGCACGCGAACUUAACCACUCGGCCACGGGGCCAGCCCCUGGAUCGUUCCCUUUAUCAAGCAGAAGUUUUUAAUUUUAAUGAAGUCCAGCUUAUCAAUUCUUUCUUUCAUGGAUCGUGCCUUUGGUAUUGUAUCUAAAAAGUCAUCACCAUACCCAAGGUUUUCUCCUGUUAUCUUCUAGGAGUUUGGGGCUUAGGAGCUGAUGUCUUCUCUAAGAGGUGGAAUGGCAUUUAGCAAGCUCACAGGACUGAUGGGGGAAAUCGGAAUGUCAAUGUAUUCACUGAUAACAAGAAAUAUAAUUGUUAAGCAGACUGGAAUAUUCUCAUCAGCAUGACCAGCACAUUCUUUCCC
rnacentral:lncRNA from 1 species